rnacentral:rRNA from 1 species
GACGAACGCUGGCGGCGUGCUUAACACAUGCAAGUCGAACGGAAAGGCCCCUUUGGGGGUACUCGAGUGGCGAACGGGCGAGUAACACGUGAGUAACCUGCCCUUGACUUCGGGAGAACUACAGGAAACUGGGGCUAACACCGGCUAGGAAUGCUUGCUGCCUGGUGGGGGUGGGAAAGCUUCGGCGGUUGGGGAUGGACGCGCGGCUUAUCAGCUUGUUGGUGGGGUAGUGGCUUACCAAGGCUUGGCGGGGCAGCUGGCCUGGGGGGGCGACCGCCCACAUUGGGACGGAGAUCGGGCCAGGACUCCUAGGGGGGGAGGAGGGGGGAAAUAUGCACCAAGGGGCGAAGGCCGAAGGCGGAACGGCGCGGUCGGGAUUGCGGGCUUUGGGUUGGAAACCGGCUUCAGCAGGGGCGAAGGUUGUGGUGACGGUACCGGGAGAAGAAGCACCGGCUAACUACGUG